GAACGCUGGCGGCGUGCCUAAUACAUGCAAGUCGAACGAGUUCUCGUUGAUGAUCGGUGCUUGCACCGAGAUUCAACAUGGAACGAGUGGCGGACGGGUGAGUAACACGUGGGUAACCUGCCCUUAAGUGGGGGAUAACAUUUGGAAACAGAUGCUAAUACCGCAUAGAUCCAAGAACCGCAUGGUUCUUGGCUGAAAGAUGGCGUAAGCUAUCGCUUUUGGAUGGACCCGCGGCGUAUUAGCUAGUUGGUGAGGUAAUGGCUCACCAAGGCGAUGAUACGUAGCCGAACUGAGAGGUUGAUCGGCCACAUUGGGACUGAGACACGGCCCAAACUCCUACGGGAGGCAGCAGUAGGGAAUCUUCCACAAUGGACGCAAGUCUGAUGGAGCAACGCCGCGUGAGUGAAGAAGGCUUUCGGGUCGUAAAACUCUGUUGUUGGAGAAGAAUGGUCGGCAGAGUAACUGUUGUCGGCGUGACGGUAUCCAACCAGAAAGCCACGGCUAACUACGUGCCAGCAGCCGCGGUAAUACGUAGGUGGCAAGCGUUAUCCGGAUUUAUUGGGCGUAAAGCGAGCGCAGGCGGUUUUUUAAGUCUGAUGUGAAAGCCCUCGGCUUAACCGAGGAAGCGCAUCGGAAACUGGGAAACUUGAGUGCAGAAGAGGACAGUGGAACUCCAUGUGUAGCGGUGAAAUGCGUAGAUAUAUGGAAGAACACCAGUGGCGAAGGCGGCUGUCUGGUCUGUAACUGACGCUGAGGCUCGAAAGCAUGGGUAGCGAACAGGAUUAGAUACCCUGGUAGUCCAUGCCGUAAACGAUGAAUGCUAGGUGUUGGAGGGUUUCCGCCCUUCAGUGCCGCAGCUAACGCAUUAAGCAUUCCGCCUGGGGAGUACGACCGCAAGGUUGAAACUCAAAGGAAUUGACGGGGGCCCGCACAAGCGGUGGAGCAUGUGGUUUAAUUCGAAGCAACGCGAAGAACCUUACCAGGUCUUGACAUCUUUUGAUCACCUGAGAGAUCAGGUUUCCCCUUCGGGGGCAAAAUGACAGGUGGUGCAUGGUUGUCGUCAGCUCGUGUCGUGAGAUGUUGGGUUAAGUCCCGCAACGAGCGCAACCCUUAUGACUAGUUGCCAGCAUUUAGUUGGGCACUCUAGUAAGACUGCCGGUGACAAACCGGAGGAAGGUGGGGAUGACGUCAAAUCAUCAUGCCCCUUAUGACCUGGGCUACACACGUGCUACAAUGGAUGGUACAACGAGUUGCGAGACCGCGAGGUCAAGCUAAUCUCUUAAAGCCAUUCUCAGUUCGGACUGUAGGCUGCAACUCGCCUACACGAAGUCGGAAUCGCUAGUAAUCGCGGAUCAGCACGCCGCGGUGAAUACGUUCCCGGGCCUUGUACACACCGCCCGUCACACCAUGAGAGUUUGUAACACCCGAAGCCGGUGGCGUAACCCUUUUAGGGAGCGAGCCGUCUAAGGUGGGACAAAUGAUUAGGGUGAAG
rnacentral:rRNA from 2 species